UGAGACAGUUCGGUCCCUAUCUGCCGUGGACGUUGGAGAUUUGAGGAAAGCUGCUCCUAGUACGAGAGGACCGGAGUGGACGAACCUCUGGUGUUCGGGUUGUGACGCCAGUCGCAUUGCCCGGUAGCUAUGUUCGGACAGGAUAACCGCUGAAAGCAUCUAAGCGGGAAGCCCCUUCCAAGAUGAGAUCUCCCUGGACCCUCGAGGUCCCUGAAGAGCCGUUCAAGACCAGGACGUUGAUAGGUCGGGUGUGUAAGCGCUGC
rnacentral:rRNA from 1 species